ensembl:lncRNA
CAGCUGAAGCAUAUCUACAUUACGUGUGGCAUAAAGGGAGUCUUCCUUCUAGAACUACUGCUUAAGCUCCAUUGAGGUUGGUAUAUUGUGAGUGGGAGCUUACUUAGUAACCUACGUGGCCGAUUCUGUCAAACUUGUUGAAAUGGACCUUCCCAAUAGGCAAUGUAUUGGAACACAUUCUAUGGGGCUUUUUAAGUUUACAGGCUGGGGCUUUUUGGAAUAAUAAUACCCAACAGACAGAUGCCCGCUGCCUUUGGAAUGGUCUGGUCUGGACGUGGGUCUUAUAUCUUGUUCACAAUGCUGUCAUUUGCAACUUAUGAAGACUCAAACGGGUAACCAUGUGACACAAAGAGCCUGGCCGGAUGCUCCACCAUACACAAUAAGACAAGGUGCGGGAAGACAUUGCUUGACGAGUGGAUCCUUCCAGGCUCAGGGAACCUGUGGAGAGGGAUGAAAGCAUAGUGAAAAGGACUUGAGUGCCGACGGUCAAGUUGAAUAGGAUCAGCUGUCCUGACAUCUGUGUUGUCGCUCCCUCAGCCAAACCAUCUGAUAUCUACUGCGGUUGUGUGUAUGUGUGUGUUCCUGCGGGGGGACGAAUAAAAAAAAACUAAUUUCAAUUCAGCUCGGCAACAGAUGAAGUGAUGAAAAUAAUUGAAAAUAACAGCUAAGAGCAGGUGGGUUUGCAGAUGGUAACGGCAAAGAUCAGGUGGCCGUUAUUAUACACACAAACCCACAAAGGAACAAGCAUUGAUGAUGUUUUGUCUGUAUGCUUGUAUACAUUGUAUCCAUAUUUUCCCAGUUAUUUGUAGGUUGUGUGUGUAUCUUUGAGCACUUUGAUAAAGUAUCACUUUAAAGAGGAAAACCAUUGCUGCAUUAUGACAAGACAACGUGUGCAGCCAUAUGACUUACAUCCACAUUUUUUAAAUGAAAAGAAACCAGAGGCCCAUUAUCUCUUUGGAUAGGUUUCAUUUUAAUUCCAUGCACUUCUUUUUUCUGUCGUAGUGGGUUUGUUAUGUAAAAACGCAGUCCUCUUUUCCAUGACAAAAUAAUAGAAGGAAUCGUUUGUUAUUUAGGAUGUCACCUGUUUGUAAUGUUCUGAUACCAUCCAUUUUCUUUGAUUACAUGUGUUAUUGAGUGAUGGACAUCAUGAUGCUUGGGAAAUCCUCAAUUUGGAUAGAUUAUUAAAUUGGAUUUAGAUUGGAUGGAAAAUGGCUUUUUAUCAGACUAACCCUUUCACAGGAAGUUAUGAUGAAAAAUGCAAUUUCGGUGAAUCCUCCCAUACCUUAUAUCAGAGAGUUGAAAACUAUCCUAGUGGCGUGGCUAUGGGCAAUAUCCAUGGCUCAGUCAUUCCAUCGUAUUAAUUCAGACUGGAAUAUCUUAACAAAUAUUGGAUGCACUGCCAUGAUGUUCAAACAUUCAUGAUCCCCAGAAAAUGAAUCCUGGUGGCUUAUUCUCUAGUGCCACUAUCCGUUCAACAUUUGUGGCUCUAAGUAAUGUAAUUCCAACAUUUUGUUGCAUUAUCUAUUUCUGCUCUGUAAAUCAUGUUCAUCGGAUAAAUUGUUAUACAUUUGAUGAUCACUUGACUUAUUUUUAAGCGUACUUUCAAAACUAAUGGCAUUAGAAGAUGUUAUAAUGCUUACAUAAAUGUAGAAGAUGAUCAUUACACCAUCUUAGCAUUAGCAUUGUCAAUGAUACAAUUAGAAUUUAGCUUUAAGCAUUAGUCAAAAUUCUCACAGAGCCGUUACAAUGGCUGUAAAUUCAUAACUCCUGUCGUAUGUCCAAUGGUUACAUUUCAAAUAAACACAGGGCAACUACAGUUUGGUGAAGGCACAGGAAGGCUGUGGUUUUGGUUCAUGAAAAGGCAAAUAUGUUCAUGAUGAUGGGGUCGCAAAACAUUCAACAAACCAACUUUAAAACCCUUCGGCCUUGGUUGCUGCAAUGAAGACCGAAUAAAGAUCCAUCACAACAAUGUUUUAGGGGUUCAAUGGGAGAGUGGUGCAGUGAUCUUAAGGAAGCCAUAUGGAACCGUAGGAGACAUCACACAAUCCGCUCGACAAGCAGAGUAAGGCCUCCCGUGACGGGUACACUGAAUGACCCUGGAGGAAAAAAAACCUAUUCAGUGAAAGUGGAAAAACUACAAUAAUAUCAUGUCAUAGUCAGCAGAACUCCUAUGAUCGCAGAAUGUCUGCACCCACUUGCAAUGAUAACGGUGCACGUCAUGUCAGCUGAUAGAAGAUGUCUGCGCUUGGAAUCUCUAGAUUAGGUCCUGAUGACUUGUGGGGAAAACCAACAUGAUCCCUCUGCACUUGGUUGUGCACCCAGCCCCCGACCCCUUUUCAUUAUGUUAUCGACCUAUAAUAUUCUGCUCCGAAGAUGAAUCUGAAGACCUUUGAGUAGCCUUUACGCAUAACUUGUAUGUGUGUCAAUUCCGUCGUCUGUUUGCAAACGAAUACAAAUAAAAUAUCCUGUCGGGAACCGGGUUUUGGUUUCCC